rnacentral:rRNA from 1 species
UACAGAGGUCCCAAGCGUUGUUCGGAUUCAUUGGGCGUAAAGGGUGUGUAGGUGGCGCGCUAAGUCGGGUGUGAAAUUUCGGAGCUUAACUCCGAAACUGCAUUCGAUACUGGCGUGCUUGAGGACUGGAGAGGAGACUGGAAUUCAUGGUGUAGCAGUGAAAUGCGUAGAGAUCGUGAGGAACACCAGUGGCGAAGGCGGCUCACUGGCCCGUUACUGACGCUGAGGUGCGAAAGCGUGGGGAGCAAACAGG